rnacentral:rRNA from 1 species
UACGAAGGGGGCUAGCGUUGUUCGGAUUUACUGGGCGUAAAGCGCACGUAGGCGGUUCUUUAAGUCAGAGGUGAAAUCCCAAGGCUCAACCUUGGAACUGCCUUUGAUACUGGGGAUCUUGAGUCCGGGAGAGGUUAGUGGAACUGCGAGUGUAGAGGUGAAAUUCGUAGAUAUUCGCAAGAACACCAGUGGCGAAGGCGGCUCACUGGCCCGGUACUGACGCUGAGGUGCGAAAGCGUGGGGAGCAAACAGG